UACAGAGGGUGCGAGCGUUAAUCGGAAUUACUGGGCGUAAAGCGUGCGUAGACGGCUAUCUAAGUCGGGUGUGAAAGCCCCGGGCUCAACCUGGGAACGGCACUCGAUACUGCGGAGCUCGAGUACGAGAGAGGGGGGUGGAAUUCCAGGUGUAGCGGUGAAAUGCGUAGAGAUCUGGAGGAACACCGGUGGCGAAGGCGGCCCCCUGGUUCGAUACUGACGCUGAGGUGCGAAAGCGUGGGGAGCAAACAGG
rnacentral:rRNA from 1 species